CCUACGGGGGGCUGCAAUUAGGAAUCUUGCGCAAUGGGGGAAACCCUGACGCAGCGACGCCGCGUGAAUGAUGAAGUCUUUCGGGAUGUAAAGUUCUGUCCUAUGGGGAAGAAGAAUGUGACGGUACCCAUAGAGAAAGCCCCGGCUAACUACGUGCCAGCAGCCGCGGUAAUACGUAGGGGGCGAGCGUUGUCCGCAUUUAUUGGGCGUAAAGCGCAUGUAGGCGGCUCUUUAAGUCAGAUGUGAAAUCCUGCAGCUCAACUGCAGAACUGCAUUUGAGACUGGAGGGCUUGAGUGUGGGAGAGGAAAGUGGAAUUCCAGGUGUAGCGGUGAAAUGCGUAGAUAUCUGGAGGAACACCCGUGGCGAAGGCGGCUUUCUGGCCACCACUGACGCUGAGAUGCGAAAGCUAGGGGAGCGAACG
rnacentral:rRNA from 1 species